UACGAAGGGGGCUAGCGUUGCUCGGAAUCACUGGGCGUAAAGGGUGCGUAGGCGGGUCUUAAGUCAGGGGUGAAAUCCUGGAGCUCAACUCCAGAACUGCCUUUGAUACUGAAGAUCUUGAGUUCGGGAGAGGUGAGUGGAACUGCGAGUGUAGAGGUGAAAUUCGUAGAUAUUCGCAAGAACACCAGUGGCGAAGGCGGCUCACUGGCCCGAUACUGACGCUGAGGCACGAAAAGCGUGGGGGAGCAAACAGGG
rnacentral:rRNA from 1 species